rnacentral:lncRNA from 1 species
UUCGUUGAUUCACAAUAUGAGAUCAGAUCGUAUUCAUUCAUACUAAUGCCACACAUUAGUAGCAUCCGAGCUUUGUGGUUUUUCCCGACUAAUCUUUUGUCAGAGUCAUUAUAUUGUUGUCAAGUUUUGAGAAUGACUCUUGUAACUUCUCCAUCUUUAACCUCCAUAGUUGGCACAUAAGGACCUUCACAAAUAACGUUCCAUACCUUAAUGUACUCAGCCAUGAGAUAGUCUCUCAUUCGAAUCUUCCACUAUCUAUAAAACUGACCAUCAAAAAGAGGUGGCCUUGUGGGGGACUGACUUCUUUGCAGGUUCAGUGGUGUCGCCAUUCCUCGCAUGUAUCUCUCUAUUGGUGUUAACCAGAUAGAGAUCCCAAGCUCUGAUACCAAUUGUUUGAAUGUAUGCGUCCACCAAUGAUCACAGGACCAGGUCCCCCGAUAGAAUAAAAGUGCAGAAAAUAAAUAGCACAACGUAAAAUAGGCACAAGAGUUUUACGUGGAAAUCUCCUUGCUCAAGGGAGUAAAACCACGACCUGUCACACAGGAUUUUCCAACUGUUUUCACUAAUCUUCUCAAGCAAAAGUGAAACACAGAUUACAACCACAACAAUGAGAUUAACAC